rnacentral:rRNA from 1 species
CCUACGGGUGGCAGCAGUGGGGAAUAUUGGACAAUGGGGGGAACCCUGAUCCCGCGACGCCGCGUGAGGGAAGACGUAUUUCGGUAUGUAAAGCUUUAUCAGCAGGGAAGAAAAUGACGGUACCUGACUAAGAAGCCUCGGGUAACUACGUGCCAGCAGCCGCGGUAAUACGUAGGGGGCAAGCGUUAUCCGGAUUUACUGGGUGUAAAGGGAGCGUAGACGGUUCAGCAAGUCUGAUGUGAAAGGUCGGGGGCCAACCCCGGGACUGCAUUGGAAACUGUUGAACUGGAGUAAAGGAGAGGUAAGCGGAAUUCCUGGUGUAGCGGUGAAAUGCGUAGAUAUUAGGAGGAACACCAGUGGCGAAGGCGGCUUACUGGACUGUAACUGACGUUGAGGCUCGAAAGCGUGGGGAGCGAACAGGAUUAGAUACCCCAGUAGUC